ACGAACGCUGGCGGCGUGCUUAACACAUGCAAGUCGAACGGAAAGGCCCUGCUUUUGUGGGGUGCUCGAGUGGCGAACGGGUGAGUAACACGUGAGUAACCUGCCCUUGACUUUGGGAUAACUUCAGGAAACUGGGGCUAAUACCGGAUAGGAGCUCCUGCUGCAUGGUGGGGGUUGGAAAGUUUCGGCGGUUGGGGAUGGACUCGCGGCUUAUCAGCUUGUUGGUGGGGUAGUGGCUUACCAAGGCUUUGAUGGGUAGCCGGCCUGAGAGGGUGACCGGCCACAUUGGGACUGAGAUACGGCCCAGACUCCUACGGGAGGCAGCAGUGGGGAAUAUUGCACAAUGGGCGGAAGCCUGAUGCAGCAACGCCGCGUGCGGGAUGAAGGCCUUCGGGUUGUAAACCGCUUUCGCCUGUGACGAAGCGUGAGUGACGGUAAUGGGUAAAGAAGCACCGGCUAACUACGUG
rnacentral:rRNA from 1 species